ACGCUGGCGGCGUGCCUAAUACAUGCAAGUAGAACGCUGAAGGAGGAGCUUGCUUCUCUGGAUGAGUUGCGAACGGGUGAGUAACGCGUAGGUAACCUGCCUGGUAGCGGGGGAUAACUAUUGGAAACGAUAGCUAAUACCGCAUAACAGUAGAUGUUGCAUGACAUUUGCUUAAAAGGUGCAAUAGCAUCACUACCAGAUGGACCUGCGUUGUAUUAGCUAGUUGGUGGGGUAACGGCUCACCAAGGCGACGAUACAUAGCCGACCUGAGAGGGUGAUCGGCCACACUGGGACUGAGACGCGGCCCAGACUCCUACGGGAGGCAGCAGUAGGGAAUCUUCGGCAAUGGACGGAAGUCUGACCGAGCAACGCCGCGUGAGUGAAGAAGGUUUUCGGAUCGUAAAGCUCUGUUGUAAGAGAAGAACAGGUGUGAGAGUGGAAAGUUCACACUGUGACGGUAUCUUACCAGAAAGGGACGGCUAACUACGUGCCAGCAGCCGCGGUAAUACGUAGGUCCCGAGCGUUGUCCGGAUUUAUUGGGCGUAAAGCGAGCGCAGGCGGUUAGAUAAGUCUGAAGUUAAAGGCUGUGGCUUAACCAUAGUACGCUUUGGAAACUGUUUAACUUGAGUGCAAGAGGGGAGAGUGGAAUUCCAUGUGUAGCGGUGAAAUGCGUAGAUAUAUGGAGGAACACCGGUGGCGAAAGCGGCUCUCUGGCUUGUAACUGACGCUGAGGCUCGAAAGCGUGGGGAGCAAACAGGAUUAGAUACCCCUGGUAGUCCACGCCGUAAACGAUGAGUGCUAGGUGUUAGACCCUUUCCGGGGUUUAGUGCCGCAGCUAACGCAUUAAGCACUCCGCCUGGGGAGUACGACCGCAAGGUUGAAACUCAAAGGAAUUGAC
rnacentral:rRNA from 1 species